rnacentral:rRNA from 1 species
CCUACGGGAGGCAGCAGUAGGGAAUCUUCCACAAUGGACGAAAGUCUGAUGGAGCAACGCCGCGUGAGUGAAGAAGGGUUUCGGCUCGUAAAGCCCCGUUGGUAGGGAAGAAAGAUAGAGGUAGUAACUGGCCUUUAUUUGACGGUAAUUACUUAGAAAGGCACGGCUAACUACCUGCCAGCAGCCGCGGUAAUACGUAGGUGGCAAGCGCUGUCCGGAUUUAUUGGGCGUAAAGCGAGUGCAGGCGGUUCAAUAAGUCUGAUGUGAAAGCCUUCGGCUCAACCGGAGAAUUGCAUCAGAAACUGUUGAACUUGAGUGCAGAAGAGGAGAGUGGAACUCCAUGUGUAGCGGUGGAAUGCGUAGAUAUAUGGAAGAACUCCAGUGGCGAAGGCGGCUCUCUGGUCUGCAACUGACGCUGAGGCUCGAAAGCAUGGGUAGCGAACAGGAUUAGAUACCCUAGUAGUC